rnacentral:rRNA from 1 species
GCCUCCCUCCGCCGCCAUCAGACUCCUACGAGAGGCAGCAGUAGGGAAUAUUGCUCAAUGGGGAAACCUGAAGCAGCAACGCCGCGUGAGUGAUGAAGGCCUUCGGGUCGUAAAGCUCUGUUGUACGGGGCGAAUGCCGUCAUGGCUAAUAUCCAUGACGAGUGACAGUACCGUAUAAGAAAGGACCGGCUAACUUCGUGCCAGCAGCCGCGGUAAUAC